AAAGAAAACUGAACAGACAGAGAUCGCAACAAGUCUGAUCGCAACUAAAAGCAGACACAGGAAGGAGACAUCUGAACGCAUGUCAACGAAAUGCAGAUAUCAGGCAUUUCCUUCAUCAUCCUACUGAUUCCAAUCAGUACAGCAUAUGAGAUAAAAUGCGAGGGUGAUUCCAUUGAGCUGUCCUGCCUGGAAUCAAGCAUCAAGGACAAGUAAACGCACUUUGGAAAAAGAGUUCGGGUGAAAGGGUUAUCUGGAACUAUUACGGAGACAGCAACAAAGGAGACUCUUUCACAAACAGGACCGUAAAGCUGAAUGAUGAUUUCUCCCCUUUCCAUUGAUGGAUGUGCUCAGUCAGACCAAGGAAUAUAUAUUCUCUGCAUUAAUGGAGAACCAAGAUGUGAGAUUAAACUGCUUGUCAAAGCCUCAAAACAAUGCAAUAAACCAAAAACAACCACAGCACAAUCAACAAGCCCUACAACUCAUGAAAAGUCAAGACAAGAUGAUCUGCAAAAUGAAUCCAGUCUGCCUAAAAUUAGCAUCACGGGUGUUUGUGUCGCAACCUGUUUGCUUUCACUUGUGGUCUU